rnacentral:lncRNA from 1 species
CACAAAUUACCAAGUUUCAUAUAAGGGAUUAUUGGUUUAUAUUGGUGGAACUGAAAUCCAGCAACAAAAAUGAAGAGAACUUAAGCGUUUGCUUUAAAUUAUUAGAAAACAUCAGUGUCUCAACAUCCAAAGUAGGAAGCAAACUGGCAGUCUGCAGUGCCUUUAAUUGAAGUUGGUCAUUGGGUCACUGUAUAGGACGCUGC